CAGUAGCCGCGGGAAUACAGAGGGUGCGAGCGUUAAUCGGAAUUACUGGGCGUAAAGCGUGCGCAGGCGGUUAUAUAAGACAGAUGUGAAAUCCCCGGGCUCAACCUGGGAACUGCAUUUGUGACUGUAUAGCUAGAGUACGGCAGAGGGGGAUGGAAUUCCGCGUGUAGCAGUGAAAUGCGUAGAUAUGCGGAGGAACACCGAUGGCGAAGGCAAUCCCCUGGGCCUGUACUGACGCUCAUGCACGAAAGCGUGGGGAGCAAACAGGAUUAGAUACCCGGGUAGUCCCUGUCUCUUAUAC
rnacentral:rRNA from 1 species